rnacentral:rRNA from 1 species
AUUGAACGCUGGCGGCAUGCCUUACACAUGCAAGUCGAACGGCAGCGGGCCUUCGGGUGCCGACGAGUGGCGAACGGGUGAGUAAUGCAUCGGAACGUACCUUUCAGUGGGGGAUAACGUAGCGAAAGUUACGCUAAUACCGCAUAUUCUGUGAGGCAGGAAAGCAGGGGAUCGCAAGACCUUGCGCUGAUUGAGCGGCCGAUGUCAGAUUAGCUAGUUGGUGAGGUAAAGGCUCACCAAGGCGACGAUCUGUAGCGGGUCUGAGAGGAUGAUCCGCCACACUGGAACUGAGACACGGUCCAGACUCCUACGGGAGGCAGCAGUGGGGGAAUUUUUGGACAAUGGGGGCAACCCUGAUCCAGCCAUGCCGCGUGAGUGAAGAAGGCC